rnacentral:tRNA from 1 species
GGAGAGAUGUCCGAGCUGGCUGAAGGAGCACGACUGGAAAUCGUGUGCGUUGCCACAAGCGGCGCCGAGGGUUCGAAUCCCUCUCUCUCCGCCA